AAGUCGUAACAAGGUUUCCCCAGAGAAGGAACAGCUUAUCAGUAAGCGCAGUUCACCUUUUUGAAGCCUUGAAUCUUCAGUCUGCUUCAAUGCAGGCAACACCAGUCUGUUGCUGAGACCUUUUCAUCUUGAAGAUCAGCAGCCGCAUCACUAACUUGUUUUGCGGUUCACAGAUCAAACACUGGUGGCCUAUUUGAUUUACAUCACAUCUACUGCGGUGUAAAUCUCCCUUAGGUUAAAAUAUGACCGGCAUCACCUAAAAAUAGGUGAGACUUAAGCGUUCCGUAGGUGAACCUGCGGAAGGAUCAUUA
rnacentral:rRNA from 1 species